rfam:Triticum aestivum genome assembly, contig: Triticum_aestivum_CS42_TGACv1_scaffold_049950_1BS
UUUAUACUCCCUCCAUUCUAAAAUUCUUGUCUUAGAUUAGUCUAGAUACGGAUGUAUAUAAUACCAAAACAUGACUUGAUACGUCCGUAUUUAGACAAAUCUAAGACAAGAAUUUUGGGACGGAGGGAGUAUUUU